CUGUAGCUCAAAGGGAAAGCAUUUGCCUUGUGUGCAGAAGGUCCCAGGUUCACUUCCUGGUGUCUGGG